GCACCUGCACUUGAAAAUAUUUUGAAAACUUUUCUAAUUAUGUUUUGCUUUAGUUUCGGGUUCGUGAGUGUGGUGUUGAUACGACCGGAUGACAUUACGCUUGGCAUUCUUUCUUAAUUUUUAACCACAUUUUUGAUAAAACGAAUUAGUAGUCAUGGGGAAAAAUAAAGGAGUGAGUGGAGCAGCUAAAGGGGGCGGUGGCGGCGAUAACAGUGGGGGUGGUGGCGGUGGUGGAAAUGUAAGCAAAAUUUGUGUUAUGCAAGCGAAAUAUUUAUUGUAAUUAAAAAAAGUGGUGGCGGUGGUGAUAAGAGUGGGAACAAAAAUAAGGGUGGCGGGGGUGCGGAAAAAGCUGGUGGCAAAAAGGGGCAAGAACAGAAGGUUGGCGGAAGUGGAGGAGGAAAAAAAGGAAACAAGAAGUAACAAUUAACUAUUAGGUUAAUUUAUUUGCAUAUUAAAAACUAUACAACAUAAAAAACCGUUUUGCCAAUAAAAUUAAUAAAAGUUUAAAGUUAGCCAAUAAAAACAAACAGAUAAAUAAAAAGAGAUAUCUGCAUGACUACAUGUACUUCAAAUAGACCCGUAGACAGGAUGAGACGGGUAUUAUGGAUCCUAAAGAUACGAGAAUCAAUUUAUUUAUACAUUAAAGAACAAGCUGAAUCACCAUUGCAUCGACAUAUCGUUAAUUGGAAAAUCACUAGUUGCCAGAAAGUGAUGAUAACACAACUGAACAGCGGCGGAUUUAGGCUCACUGCCGUCCUAAGUUCGGUCUGAUACGACGCCCUUUUAGAUCACCAAAAUUCUGCACAUUUUGAUUUGGAAUAUAUAUAUAUAUAUGUACUAUAUAUAUAUUUUGUUGAAAUAUAAUUGUUGUUAUAAUUAUUGUUUAAUAUAGAAAUAUUUAUUAAGCUCUUACAAAAAAUAAUAAUAAGCAUUUUCCUUAUUCGUGUAAAUAUAUCUACAAUGUCAUCGUAAUCCAUUUCUUCAACUGAUUGGGCUUCUAUAGAGAGUAAUGCAAAAGCUUUUAGCCUAACGUGGCCACAUCUUACGCGUAUACUUUUUUCGUAUCUAUGUAUUUCAAAAAAUUGUGAAAAAUGUUAAAAUUUACGUAGAGAUUUUGAUAAGCAUAAAAGUUCGGCCAGUUGUACACUGAAAGUAUCUAAAAUUAGGUAAUAGUUGAAAAAAGGAACGUGGAAUAAACACUUAGAACAAAA